rnacentral:rRNA from 1 species
UACGGAAGGCAGCAGUGGGGAAUAUUGCACAAUGGGCGCAAGCCUGAUGCAGCCAUGCCGCGUGUAUGAAAAAGGCCUUCGGGUUGUAAAGUACUUUCAGUCGUGAGGAAGGUGUUAAGGUUAAUAACCUUAGCAAUUGACGUUAGCGACAGAAGAAGCACCGGCUAACUCCGUGCCAGCAGCCGCGGUAAUACGGAGGGUGCGAGCGUUAAUCGGAAUUACUGGGCGUAAAGGGCACGCAGGCGGUUAAUUAAGUUGGAUGUGAAAUCCCCGGGCUUAACCUGGGAAUGGCAUUCAAGACUGGUUAGCUAGAGUCUUGUAGAGGGGGUAGAAUUCCAUGUGUAGCGGUGAAAUGCGUAGAGAUGUGGAGGAAUACCGGUGGCGAAGGCGGCCCCUGGACAAAGACUGACGCUCAUGUGCGAAAGCGUGGGGAGCAAACGAGGGAUUAGAU